rnacentral:rRNA from 1 species
CCUACGGGUGGCAGCAGUGGGGAAUCUUCCGCAAUGGGCGAAAGCCUGACGGAGCAACGCCGCGUGAUCGAAUGAAGGCCUUCGGGUUGUAAAGAUCUGUUGACAGGGACGAAUAAGCAAUGCGAAUAGUUUUGUGUAUGACGGUACCUGUUUAGAAAGCUCCGGCUAACUACGUGCCAGCAGCCGCGGUAAUACGUAGGGAGCAAGCGUUGUCCGGAAUUACUGGGCGUAAAGGGCGCGUAGGUGGGCGCUUAAGUCAGGUGCGAAAACUCCGGGCUCAACCCCGGCGAGCCGUUGAACCUGGCUGUCUUGAGAUGUCGAGAGGUAUGCGGAAUGCGCAGUGUAGCGGUGAAAUGCUUAGAUAUUGCGCAGAACUCCGAUUGCGAAGGCAGCAUACCGGCGGCGAUCUGACGCUGAGGCACGAAAGCGUGGGUAUCGAACAGGAUUAGAGACCCGGGUAGUC